GGUAAAUUUGGUUCUGGUUUCUUUAUUAUUUAUAUUAUAAAAUUUCAUGCAUAUUAUUUAUCUUUAAGGUAUAAGCUAAUGGUAGUAUAUUAUUUAAUGUGGUGCAGGAAUGUGUUCUAAUAAGUAUUUUAGGGGGUAAAUUGGUUAUUAAUAUAUAAAGGGGGACUAAUCGAAUGCCAGCAGUCGCGGUUAUUUUCGUCCUCUUAGAUGAUUAAUAUGAGUGCUGAAAAGGGUUAUGUAAUUUAUGAUGUUUUUAUGGGGGUUUUGUUUAUUUUGUGGGUUUAAUUUAUAAAGAGUAAAUGGAGGGGCUUAUAGGGGGCUUAACUGAUAGUCAGGUAAGCGACCAGGAUUAGAGACCCUAGUAGUCUGAUUGUUAACUUUUAUUUGUUUGUAAAUAUGCUUGGUAACUAUGGUUUGUUGAUUAAAAGUUGAAGGACUUGGCGGCGUAAUAUACAUUUUAGAGGGGCUUGGCUCUUGAUUCGAUGGUCCGCGAAAAACCUUACUUGUGUUGGUGGGCCUAUUAUAUAAUGGGUUUUAGCUAGUUAAUUGCCGUUGUCAGAGGUUGUGGGGAUAAGGAUAAAUUUUUUCUUCUUAAUGGUUUUUAGGCCAUAACUACUGGUCUUUAUGCUGUUUAUACUUAAGGCUAGGGUUGAGUUAUUUAUGGAUUGUUUUUUAUGGGGACAUAGUUUCUUUAGAAUAGGUUUAUAUUAGCAGGAUUUAAUAGUAAUGGGAUUAAUAGGGGUUUAAGAUAGGUCUUGUGAAUAUGCUCUUUUAUGCGUACAAAUCGCCCGCCACAGGCUUCUAUUAAAUUUAUUAGAGAGGGCUUAAGGCGUAACAGGGUAAGGGUGCUUGAAGGUGUUCUUGGUUUAUU
rnacentral:rRNA from 1 species